UACGGAGGGGGCUAGCGUUGUUCGGAAUUACUGGGCGUAAAGCGCACGUAGGCGGCUUUGUAAGUUAGAGGUGAAAGCCCAGGGCUUAACCCUGGAAUUGCCUUUAAGACUGCAUCGCUAGAAUCGUGGAGAGGUGAGUGGAAUUCCGAGUGUAGAGGUGAAAUUCGUAGAUAUUCGGAGGAACACCAGUGGCGAAGGCGACUCACUGGACAGGUAUUGACGCUGAGGUGCGAAAGCGUGGGGAGCAAACAGG
rnacentral:rRNA from 1 species